UUUUGGUAUCAAACUUUGUGCUUCAUUGAAUAUCUUUUGAAAGUUGAAUUUUCAUUUGUACUUAAUUGGUAAAUCAUUUGUUGUGAAGAAUUUCACCUGUCUUAGUACCAGAAAUUUUCAUUGGAAUCUACUAAUGAGUUCUUAUUGGCUUGCACUUUAGAGUUUUAAUCCUGUGCCAAUUCAUUUUAAUUGAUUUUAAUGUUAUUCUCUUUAACGGAGUAAAAGAAAGUCUUUAAAAGAGCUCUAAAAGAACCUUCAAAGCUUUGAAUUUUAUGUAUGUUCUAAGAUAUAUCAUAAAUUGCAUGAAUUCGUAUUUUGGUACUUGUGCCCGAAUGCUUUUAUUAUCAUAAAAGAACUUUAGAGUCAUUAAGAAUCGAUGAUCCAACAUGAUGGUAUAUUUUUCAAGUAUAUAAGUUUUGAUCUUAUACUCUGAAAAUUAAUUAGAUUGCACUCAUAUUGUUAAAUACUUAAUAUAUUGGGCAAAAGAUCUUAAAUGACCAAACUUUCAUACUUGUUAUUAAAGAUCUUUCCCAAAAAAAAAAAGAUUAGAUUUUCAUUC
rnacentral:lncRNA from 1 species